rnacentral:misc_RNA from 1 species
CACCAUCAGACUAAUUGCUGUCUGCAUUGGGCCUUCGCUCUGCUUUUGCAAAGCGCGGCUCCAAGAUAUGUCGUUCGGAUUUCAUUGACUCGACUCUUGGGAGCAAUCCUGGGUUGCUGUCUGUGGCCGAUUGUGCAUGGCGCAGGGACUUGAUUUCUUGUCCUAUAAGUGCCAAACAAUUCAAUUU